rnacentral:SRP_RNA from 1 species
GCCAGGCACAGUGGCACGUGCCUGUAGUCCCAGCUACUCGGGAGGCUGAGGUGGGAGGAUUGCUUGAGCCAAAGAGUUCUGGGCUGUAGUGCCCUGUGCCAAUCGGGUGUCUGCACUAAGUUUGGCAUCCAUAUGGUGACCUCCUGGGAGCAGGGGACCACCAGGUUGCCUAAGGAGGGGUGAACUGACCCAGGCCAGAAACGGAGCAGGUCAAAAUUCCCAUGCCGAUCAGUAGUGGGAUUGCACCUGUGAAUAGCCACUGCACUCCAGCCUGGGCACAUAGAGAGAUCCCGUCUCU